UACGGAGGGUGCGAGCGUUGUCCGGAAUCAUUGGGCGUAAAGAGCGUGUAGGCGGCCAUACAGGUCCGUUGUGAAAACUGGAGGCUCAACCUCCAGACGUCGACGGAAACCGUAUGGCUAGAGUCCGGAAGAGGAGAGUGGAAUUCCUGGUGUAGCGGUGAAAUGCGUAGAUAUCGUAAGGAAGACCAGUGGCGAAGGCGGGUCUCUGGACAGUUCCUGACGCUGAGGCACGAAGGCCAGGGGAGCAAACGGG
rnacentral:rRNA from 1 species